AUUGAACGCUGGCGGAAUGCUUUACACAUGCAAGUCGAACGGCAGCACGGGGCAACCUGGUGGCGAGUGGCGAACGGGUGAGUAAUACAUCGGAACGUGCCCAAUCGUGGGGGAUAACGUAGCGAAAGUUACGCUAAUACCGCAUACGAUCUACGGAUGAAAGCGGGGGAUCGCAAGACCUCGCGCGAAUGGAGCGGCCGAUGUCAGAUUAGGUAGUUGGUGGGGUAAAGGCUCACCAAGCCAACGAUCUGUAGCUGGUCUGAGAGGACGACCAGCCACACUGGAACUGAGACACGGUCCAGACUCCUACGGGAGGCAGCAGUGGGGAAUUUUGGACAAUGGGUGCAAGCCUGAUCCAGCCAUUCCGCGUGCAGGAUGAAGGCC
rnacentral:rRNA from 1 species